rnacentral:misc_RNA from 1 species
AGAACCUUCAUUAAGUUGAUAACUGACCUUUAAUGAUCUUUACUGACUAACAAUUUGGUUGAAAAUUGGCAAAUACUGGCUGUUUGGUGAUUGGUUUCAAUGACUUUCUGGAUUGGCAAGAUCUCUGGUUGGAAUGGAUGGUGAAAAUUUCGAGGGACAGAUGUCAAAAAUGCGAAACUCGAAGUCACUAGAAUAUUUACUUGUUCAAAAACUGAAAACAGAACCAGAAGUCAUGUUGGACAGCUUCUUUGUAUUUCUUUUAUGAUGGUGCUUUGUCACUUAUGACUGAUUUAAGCAUCUUGGCUUAAAGACGAGUUUUUG